rnacentral:rRNA from 1 species
CCUACGGGAGGCAGCAGUGGGGAAUUUUGGACAAUGGGCGAAAGCCUGAUCCAGCAAUGCCGCGUGAGUGAAGAAGGCCUUCGGGUUGUAAAGCUCUUUUGUCAGGGAAGAAACGGUGAAAGCUAAUAUCUUUUGCUAAUGACGGUACCUGAAGAAUAAGCACCGGCUAACUACGUGCCAGCAGCCGCGGUAAUACGUAGGGUGCAAGCGUUAAUCGGAAUUACUGGGCGUAAAGCGUGCGCAGGCGGUUUUGUAAGUCUGAUGUGAAAUCCCCGGGCUCAACCUGGGAAUUGCAUUGGAGACUGCAAGGCUAGAAUCUGGCAGAGGGGGGUAGAAUUCCACGUGUAGCAGUGAAAUGCGUAGAUAUGUGGAGGAACACCGAUGGCGAAGGCAGCCCCCUGGGUCAAGAUUGACGCUCAUGCACGAAAGCGUGGGGAGCAAACAGGAUUAGAUACCCUGGUAGUCCACGCCCUAAACGAUGUCUACUAGUUGUCGGGUCUUAAUUGACUUGGUAACGCAGCUAACGCGUGAAGUAGACCGCCUGGGGAGUACGGUCGCAAGAUUAAAACUCAAAGGAAUUGACGGCNGAGAGAGACGAGACGACGACGAGGGAGGAGG